rnacentral:rRNA from 1 species
CGGGUGAGUAAUGCGUGACCAACCUCGCCCCACUGCUCCAGAAUAGCUCUUGGAAACGGGUGGUAAUGCUGGAUGCUCCAACUUGACGCAUGUCUUGUUGGGAAAGUGUUUAGUGCGUGGGAUGGGGUCGCGUCCUAUCAGCUUGUAGGCGGGGUAAUGGCCCACCUAGGCUUCGACGGGUAGCCGGCCUGAGAGGGCGGACGGCCACAUUGGGACUGAGAUACGGCCCAGACUCCUACGGGAGGCAGCAGAG